CUCGGAAAGUUAAUUAUAACACUUAGGUCGUGACCCUAAAUACAAGAGUAAAUCUCUUCCGGGCU
rnacentral:tRNA from 1 species